AUCAGUUCUAAAGCAGGAGAAAACUUUAAGAGUCAGGAGUGAAGCAGGUCCAGUCAGGAAAGUCUCUGACCUCUGGGGUCUCACCAGUUUGAAGAGCAAACAUCCCUGAGCAAAUAUCAUGAAAUCAACCAACAGGUCCUAGGGGCAGCUUGGGAAUCUGUAGCCUCUCUUGGUCAGCUUCUCCAGAGAGUUAACAACCCAGGUGAAUAUGCUACCGGACAAACAAAGCAUUAGCCCUCAGAGCAUCGGUUGUGGGCAGCAGUCUCAUUUCCAGAGAUUUCCACCCACUGGCUGUACCAGGACUGGGCAGCUGUCCAGGGGGAGACUUCCGGAGACCAGAAAGGACUUCGUCCCAGGCUGCAGUUUCCAGGCAGGAAAAGCCAGGAGCAUGAGGGGCUCUGGGAGGCCAAAGAGCACGAGUCUGAUAGCGGGAGGGCCUGCAGGGCAGAGAGGCCCCCUUCUUUCCUCUGAUGCUGCCACAACCCUGGUGGGAAACCUUGCCUGGACUACCGCAUUCAUCUUCUGCUGGCUGUUCAUUCUGCUCCAAGGCUUUCCUCCAAUCAGAUGUUAAAGUGAUCCCAGGUAAUGAACAAAGAACAAAUGGAACAGAGGAGGACCAAGGAACACAAAGCAAAAACUCAGGAACUUCAUCAAAUUGGACCCAAGCUUUGGAAGAACUCAAAACACAAUUCAAAAAAAUAAUUGAGAAGCUGAAGACAAUUGGGAAAAGAACUUUAAAAGCAAAAUAAGUCAUCUGGAAAGAAAGGCAUAUGAACUAUAACAAGAAUAUAAUGUACCCAAAGGUAUAUACCCAAAGUAUCUCUUAGAGAUGCCUCUUGGUGUAAUGAAUAGUAUUGGUUGCUAUACUUAAGAGGGUUUAGGUUCACAUGUGGCAUCUAAUCCUUAUUACCUGUGCACCUCUAUCUGUAAAACAGUGACAAUAAUUCAUGUAGUACUUUUUCUCAUAGGAUUAUUAUUAGCUCAAGUGAGUUAAUUUCUAUUAAGUACUUAAACUUUUUUUGUAACAUUUUUAUAGAUGUCUCUUUUUUUUGUUGUUAAAUCACCAUAGUUUCUCCCAGUAUCCAUACUCUUCCGCCUGUCCUCAGGAAGCUAACCUACUUAGCAAACAGUAUUUUUAAAAAUCAAAAAGAAAAAAAUCUUUAAUUGGAACUAUGCCCCAAAAGUUUUGACCUCUACUGGGCCUAUAUCCUAAUGAGAUUAAAGAAAAA
rnacentral:lncRNA from 1 species